rnacentral:tRNA from 8 species
GCGGCUGUAGCUCAGCUGGAUAGAGUACCUGGCUACGAACCAGGCGGUCGGAGGUUCGAAUCCUCCCAGCCGCACCA